GGUAAGGUGGCCGAGAAGGUGGCAGGUUGUAGCCCUGUGUAGGCGGGUCAAGCCCCGUCCUUAUCA
rnacentral:tRNA from 1 species